GUACCGACGACUUUUCCUGUAGUAACGGCUUUCACGGAGGACUGACAUAUAUUCUUCAAUCAACGACUGACAUCAAUCGAUACUAAAGAUCUUUGUACAGAAUUGAAAACAGAAACUCGAGAAAUGGGUUUGCGUCAUGAGUGUAAAAAAUCGCUGAACUAUUAUAAGAAAUGUUUACAAUCAUAAUAUAGCUGAUAGUGUAAACAUGUUCAACUUGUAGGUGCGUCAUUUUAUGUUAGCUUUUUCUGAAUAACGAUAACAGGAUUAGUGGGUAUUUUUGUUUAUGUACAUCAAAAAAUGCUUUAUUUAUGCAAAGAUUGUAGAUCAUACAACAUCAAUCUUCAUUUGUAGUUCGAGCAUUCAUUAAAAGCUUCUGAUGACAUCUAAGUCCGCUGGAUUUGGCAGCAUUGUUUAGAAAUCUGGAACAUAAAAAAAUAUCUCCCGGCGACCCAACUUACCGUACAAUCCAAAAAAUCUGGCUGAACCAUUAUUAAGCUACGAUCAGUAUGUGGUUGAGGAACAAGAUCCUCAAGUAUC